CCGGAGAACUGAAACAUCUUAGUACCCGGAGGAAGAGAAAGAAAAUUCGAUUCCCUUAGUAGCGGCGAGCGAAACGGGAAGAGCCCAAACCAACAAGCUUGCUUGUUGGGGUUGUAGGACACUCUAUACGGAGUUACAAAGGACGACAUUAGACGAAUCAUCUGGAAAGAUGAAUCAAAGAAGGUAAUAAUCCUGUAGUCGAAAAUGUUGUCUCUCUUGAGUGGAUCCUGAGUACGACGGAGCACGUGAAAUUCCGUCGGAAUCUGGGAGGACCAUCUCCUAAGGCUAAAUACUCUCUAGUGACCGAUAGUGAACCAGUACCGUGAGGGAAAGGUGAAAAGCACCCCGGAAGGGGAGUGAAAUAGAACCUGAAACCGUGUGCUUACAAGUAGUCAGAGCCCGUUAAUGGGUGAUGGCGUGCCUUUUGUAGAAUGAACCGGCGAGUUACGAUUUGAUGCAAGGUUAAGCAGUAAAUGUGGAGCCGUAGCGAAAGCGAGUCUGAAUAGGGCGUUUAGUAUUUGGUCGUAGACCCGAAACCAGGUGAUCUACCCUUGGUCAGGUUGAAGUUCAGGUAACACUGAAUGGAGGACCGAACCGACUUACGUUGAAAAGUGAGCGGAUGAACUGAGGGUAGCGGAGAAAUUCCAAUCGAACCUGGAGAUAGCUGGUUCUCUCCGAAAUAGCUUUAGGGCUAGCCUCAAGUGAUGAUUAUUGGAGGUAGAGCACUGUUUGGACGAGGGGCCCCUCUCGGGUUACCGAAUUCAGACAAACUCCGAAUGCCAAUUAAUUUAACUUGGGAGUCAGAACAUGGGUGAUAAGGUCCGUGUUCGAAAGGGAAACAGCCCAGACCACCAGCUAAGGUCCCAAAAUAUAUGUUAAGUGGAAAAGGAUGUGGCGUUGCCCAGACAACUAGGAUGUUGGCUUAGAAGCAGCCAUCAUUUAAAGAGUGCGUAAUAGCUCACUAGUCGAGUGACACUGCGCCGA
rnacentral:rRNA from 1 species